AAGUUAUCAGACUCCCCAUUCUUUCUGGGUCCUUGGGGAAACUCCAGUCUGAAGAGUUUGUUGUGUUAACUCCUGGUUUCUGCCAGUCUGAGAAGAUGCUGCUGAACAUCACCCAAUGACUUUCCAGCUAUGAGGAGAAAAAGGAGGAAUGGAGGACAGUUUAAACAAGUUUAAACAAGCCAUCUCCCUCCAGAUGGUGACUGCCAUACCAAACCACAGACUUGGAUCACUGUCUUCAGAGUUCUAGCUUGUUCUGCCUGGC
rnacentral:lncRNA from 1 species